AUCAAAACAAAUCUUCAAGGCCUAACAUCAUCUCUACUGGAAUUGAGCGGGCUCGUUUGACUAUGGUUUGGAGGAAAUAUGAGAGUCUUCAAUGAUGCUAUCAAAUUUGAGCUCUUGACAACUCGUAUUGUGAAACAGACAUUUCAUCAAUUGGCCUAUUAGAGUUUAGGGCAAUUUAGGGUCUAUUAGAAAGAAUAGCUUACAAA
rnacentral:misc_RNA from 1 species